rnacentral:rRNA from 1 species
CCCUUAGAUGUUCUGGGCCGCACGCGCGCUACACUGAUGCAUUCAACGAGUCUAAAACCUGGUCUGAUAGGGCUGGGUAAUCUUUUGAAUGUGCAUCGUGAUUGGGAUAGAUGAUUGCAAUUCUUCAUCUUCAACGAGGAAUGCCUAGUAAACGCGAGUCAUCAGCUCGCGUUGAUUACGUCCCUGCCCUUUGUACACACCGCCCGUCGCUACUACCGAUUGGAUGGAUUAGUGAGACCCUCGGACUGGAACCUAGAGGCGGUGGUUCAUCCACCAAAUCUUGGAGCCGGGAAGAAGGUCAAACUUGUCUAUCUAGAGGAAGUAAAAGUCGUAACA